rnacentral:snoRNA from 1 species
CUGCCCCUAUAGGCAUUGCAGGUGUGGCUGCUGUGUCACAUGUGUGUCAGUAGGUGACAGAAAGGAAAGAGGCAAUGUCUACAGUCAGUGUUCCAACCUAUGGACAUUUGUAUGAUUAGUAGUAUAACAUU